rnacentral:lncRNA from 1 species
AAAAACUCUGGCAAAGUUUUCAUGUCACACUUCAACUGCCACUGAGGAACUAUAUCAAGGGGACAGAUAGAAAUUGACCACUUGGGCCAGUGCCCAGCCACUUUCAUACCACUUGAACAGCAAUCUUGUGGCAGACAAUAUCCUCUAUGCAAAGAUUUACCAUAGUACCCAGCACAGUAUAGUUGUUAAUUAAACAACAGCUUCUCCAUGACAUAACACUU